rnacentral:rRNA from 1 species
GAAGACCAAGGGUUCCUGUCCAACGUUAAUCGGGGCAGGGUAAGUCGACCCCUAAGGCGAGGCCGAAAGGCGUAGUCGAUGGGAAACGGGUUAAUAUUCCCGUACUUCUUACAAUUGCGAUGGGGGGACGGAGAAGGCUAGGUGGGCCUGGCGACGGUUGUCCAGGUUCAAGUGCGUAGGCUUAAGAGUUAGGUAAAUCCGGCUCUUUUUAAGGCUGAGACACGACGUCGAGCACCUACGGGUGUGAAGUCAUUGAUGCCAUGCUUCCAGGAAAAGCCUCUAAGCUUCAGAUUGUAAGGAAUCGUACCCCAAACCGACACAGGUGGUCGGGUAGAGAAUACCAAGGCGCUUGAGAGAACUCGGGUGAAGGAACUAGGCAAAAUGGUACCGUAACUUCGGGAGAAGGUACGCUCUUGAUGGUGAAGUCCCUUGCGGAUGGAGCUGACGAGAGUCGCAGAUACCAGGUGGCUGCAACUGUUUAUUAAAAACACAGCACUGUGCAAAAUCGUAAGAUGACGUAUACGGUGUGACGCCUGCCCGGUGCCGGAAGGUUAAUUGAUGGGGUUAGACUUC